rnacentral:lncRNA from 1 species
ACCUCAUUUUCUUAUUACGAGCUCCACUUUAGCUAAAUUUCCAAAGCAGAACAUGCAAAAUGCUAACAUAGUUAAAUGUCUAUUUGGUUAUACAUAAAUGGUGCAUGUCCAUUAAUGUAUAAUACAUUUUGAAUGCAAAAGGUAAAUACCCUUUAUGAUUUCUCAAGCUACCAUCAAAGAGGCUCCAGUGGUCAACAGCAGGAGGGUGACAGACCCCUUCAGGGACCUCAGGACCCCCGGUGAAGCAAGGUACGUAAACAUCUCUUAUCUGGACAGUGAAAUCAUAUUUGUUCUCCAAGAUUGUGAAUAUCUGAUUCACCUCUACAUACAGCCUUAAUGGCUAAACCUUCAGUCUCCAUUGCGGAAGGCAGAGCCACAGUAGGAAAUACCACUUUGGCUUCUGUACCCUGGCUGGAACAAUAAUUCCACACCUGUUAUUUGCAGCAGCCCAGCAGAAAUUAAACCAAGAGUUGAGUUCUACCCACUGGC